GGAGGGUGCUAACGUUGCUCGGAAUUACUGGGCGUAAAGCGCAUGCAGGCGGUCUGCAAAGUUCCGUGUGAAAGCCCUGGGCUCAACCCAGGAAGUGCACAGAAAACUGGCAGACUAGAGUACUGGAGAAGUGGGCGGAAUUCCCGGUGUAGAGGUGAAAUUCGUAGAUAUCGGGAGGAACACCAGUAGCGAAAGCGGCUCACUUGACAGAUACUGACGCUCAGAUGCGAAAGCGUGGGGGGGAGCAAACAGGAUUAGAUACCCUGGUAGUCCACGCCGUAAACGAUGGGCACUAGGUGUCGGGGGCUUGACCCCCCCCCUUCGGCGCCGCAGCUAACGCAUUAAGUGCCCCCGCCUGGGACUACGGUCGCAAGACUA
rnacentral:rRNA from 1 species